UACGAAGGGGGCUAGCGUUGCUCGGAAUCACUGGGCGUAAAGCGCACGUAGGCGGAUUGUUAAGUCAGGGGUGAAAUCCUGGAGCUCAACCUCCAGACUGUCCUUGAUACUGGCGAUCUCGAGUCCGGGAGAGGUGAGUGGAACUGCGAGUGUAGAGGUGAAAUUCGUAGAUAUUCGCAAGAACACCAGUGGCGAAGGCGGCUCACUGGCCCGGUACUGACGCUGAGGUGCGAAAGCGUGGGGAGCAAACAGG
rnacentral:rRNA from 1 species